rnacentral:rRNA from 1 species
GAUGAACGCUGGCGGCGUGCUUAACACAUGCAAGUCGAACGGUGAGGCUCCAGCUUGCUGGAGUGGAUCAGUGGCGAACGGGUGAGUAACACGUGAGCAACCUGCCCCUGACUCUGGGAUAACAGCCGGAAACGGCUGCUAAUACCGGAUAUGCACCAUGAACGCAUGUUCUGUGGUGGGAAAGAUUUUUCGGUUGGGGAUGGGCUCGCGGCCUAUCAGCUUGUUGGUGAGGUAAUGGCUCACCAAGGCGUCGACGGGUAGCCGGCCUGAGAGGGUGACCGGCCACACUGGGACUGAGACACGGCCCAGACUCCUACGGGAGGCAGCAGUGGGGAAUAUUGCACAAUGGGCGAAAGCCUGAUGCAGCAACGCCGCGUGAGGGAUGACGGCCUUCGGGUUGUAAACCUCUUUUAGCAGGGAAGAAGCGAGAGUGACGGUACCUGCAGAAAAAGCGCCGGCUAACUACGUG